rnacentral:rRNA from 1 species
AUACGUAGGGGGCGAGCGUUGUCCGGAAUGAUUGGGCGUAAAGGGCGCGUAGGCGGCGCGGUAAGUCUGGAGUGAAAGUCCUGCUUUCAAGGUGGGAAUUGCUUUGGAUACUGCCGCGCUUGAGUGCAGGAGAGGUUAUCGGAAUUCCCGGUGUAGCGGCGAAAUGCGUAGAGAUCGGGAGGAACACCAGUGGCGAAGGCGGGUAACUGGACUGCAACUGACGCUGAGGCGCGAAAGUGUGGGGAGCAAACAGGAUUAGAUACCCUGGUAGUCCACACUGUAAACGAUGAAUGCUAGGUGUAAGAGGUAUCGACCCCUUUUGUGCCGGAGUCAACACAAUAAGCAUUCCGCCUGGGGAGUACGGCCGCAAGGUUGAAACUCAAAUGAAUUGACGGGG